GCGGGCUGUUGCUAUGACAGCCCAGGCCGGCGUUGCAGAGGGAUGCUCCGAGGAAGCUCCGGGGGAGAGAGCCGCGUCCACACCUCUUUCCAGACUAUGAUGGGGCCCAGAGACCCCUCCCCUCCGACUGAGCCCCAGAGACCCCCUACUCAGGCCAGAAGGGGAAAGCCGAGCUCCUGCUUGCCCAGGCAUCAGAAUUCCUCAGGGAGGAAAAGUUGCCUAUCUGUUGGGUCAGAUUUCUGAAGACUGAUGAGGCCCAUUUUCUGACAUCCUUCCAGUUGGAUUUCAACUGGGUUCUGCCGAUGGGAUGUAUCCAUGUGAGAUUCUGGAACUAACAUCAGAGAGAGUCCAAGCUUCUAACUUUUAUCAGUGGCAGUGACAACAGUCAAGCAGCAUUGAUGACAAAUGGCAAGAGUUUACAAAGUACCAGUGACGUGCCUGAUAGAAUCUCCCCACAAGAUGGAAGCCAACUCAUCAGAAGCCUGGAAAGCCCGCCCAGCGUGGGACCUCUGUGGGUCCAGGAUCUUGGAAUGGCAUCCCAUGGUUUAAUCUUCCAGAUUCAACCAAAUAAAUUUACCCCACCAUGUCAUGGACCCAAGCUUCCUACCAUGUAUCCUUAGCUUAAAUGCAAGAUAGUGCUAUCUUGUUCAUCUUGAUUGGAGUGAGAAAUGAAUAGGUCCAUGCACAUAUAUUUCUUUUACCACAACAAGAUGAAGAAGAAAUAAAUCCAUAAUAUUGAUACUUUUGUAUAAGUUGUGUUUACAGUUGCAGUAAGAAAUUUUAUAAUCGUUGAUUUGCUUUAUAUAAUUUCUGCUUGCUUUUUAUGAUAUUUAAAACAAAAUCUAAGCAACAAAUUUUAUGUCUGAUUAGAUUUACAGAAGCUGCUUAAGUGCUUAGGGAUAAUUUGUUCAUCAUACUUGUAAGUCUCCCUUGUUAGGUGUUUGAAGUGUUUGAAUUGGCUAAAUUAAAUUUGUAAUUGUAGUUUCAAAUAUCUAAAGGGAUUUUCUUAAUUAAAUGUUUAAAUGAUGUUAAAAGUUCGUGGGAAUUUAAUCUAUCAAAUUUAUGAGUUAAUUGAAUAUGAAUCAAUAAACAAGUAAAUGUGAUCUUGCUUUUAUAUAAAAACUACCAAGUUCAUAAAUAAAAUACAAAGAUCCAUAAGUUGAGAGGAAAA
rnacentral:lncRNA from 1 species